GACGAACGCUGGCGGCGUGCUUAACACAUGCAAGUCGAACGGAAAGGCCCUGCUUUUGUGGUGUGCUCGAUUGGCGAACGGGUGAGUAACACGUGAGUAACCUGCCCUUGACUUUGGGAUAACUUCAGGAAACUGGGGCUAAUACCGGAUAGCAGCUCCUGCUGCAUGGUGGGGGUUGGAAAGUUUCGGCGGUUGGGGAUGGACUCGCGGCUUAUCAGCUUGUUGGUGGGGUAGUGGCUUACCAAGGCAUUGACGGGUAGCCGGCCUGAGAGGGUGACCGGCCACAUUGGGACUGAGAUACGGACCAGACUCCUACGGGAGGCAGCAGUGGGGAAUAUUGCACAAUGGGCGGAAGCCUGAUGCAGCAACGCCGCGUGCGGGAUGACGGUCUUCGGGUUGUAAACCGCUUUCGCCUGUGACGAAGCGUGAGUGACGGUAAUGGGUAAAGAAGCACCGGCUAACUACGUG
rnacentral:rRNA from 1 species